UGCCAGACUCCUACGGGAGGCAGCAGUGGGGGAUAUUGCACAAUGGGGGGAACCCUGAUGCAGCGACGCCGCGUGGGUGAAGAAGCGCCUCGGCGCGUAAAGCCCUGUCAGCAGGGAAGAAAAUGACGGUACCUGAAGAAGAAGCCCCGGCUAACUACGUGCCAGCAGCCGCGGUAAUACGUAGGGGGCAAGCGUUAUCCGGAAUUACUGGGUGUAAAGGGAGCGUAGACGGCAAUGCAAGUCCGGAGUGGAAUGCGGCAGCUCAACUGCCGAACUGCUCUGGAAACUGUAUGGCUUGAGUGCAGGAGGGGUAAGCGGAAUUCCUGGUGUAGCGGUGAAAUGCGUAGAUAUCAGGAGGAACACCGGUGGCGAAGGCGGCUUACUGGACUGUAACUGACGUUGAGGCUCGAAAGCGUGGGGAGCAAACAGGAUUAGAUACCCCAGUAU
rnacentral:rRNA from 1 species